UAAUGUGUUGUGUAAGAAAAUAAUUUGAGAGAAAAUGAGGGAAUUCUUAUUAUAGAAUUUCAUGUAUUACAAUGUGAGACAAAAGAGAAAAACUUGUGUAGGACUUAACUUACCACUAUACUAUGUUGAGUGACGCUACAAAACAUGCCAUGUGUUAAGUAUGAUAUCAUAUUUAUAAUUUAUAUUUAGCGAGAGCAACACCCAAACAAAAAAAAAUUCUAAAAUUGAAAAAUAAUUAAAACAAAUCAAUUAUCUUAAUUUGUCUUUUCCAGAAUUUAAGCACACUGAGAUUUAUCAACAUGUUUUUUCUCCUUUGUACCUCUGGUAUUACAAGAAAAAUAAUAUGAUAAUUUUUUCUUUUCUUCAAGGACUAUAUAUAAUUGAAUAUUGUUAUUCAUGUAUCUAUCUCCUGUAAGAAUAUCUAUGUAACAAUGAAUUAAAGAAUGAUUGG
rnacentral:lncRNA from 1 species